UCAGAAACCCUAAUUCACAAAUUGGGAACCUAACCCUCAUUUUUCCCUUUCCUCAGAGACUGAAACACGCAGCUUUCACCCCCUUUCUCCUUCACCCACUCAACGCACAACACACCCACACCAGCCACAAAGAGGAAGAGAGGGACCUGCGCCACAUCGCCGUCCAGUCGCUGUCUGGCUCGCCAUCACCGGUGUCUCACCGCCAUCACUAUGGAGACCAAAUGCCAUCGAGCUUCUUGCCGCCACCUUGGUAUCCAUCGUCAGGUCUGAGUCGAAGAAAGAGGGAGGCAUAGAGUCAAUGUCGCGCAGAGAGGGAUUUGCUGUUGUCGUUGCGCGCCGUCGUGUGCCGUCGCUGUUGUCCGAGCCGUCGCCAUUGCUGUGGGUGAAGUCCGCCGCAGGUGCCAAUUGAGGCCGCUGCUAUAGAACAGAGAUGAGAGAGAGACGUUGAGAGGGAACCGCGAGCUGUAAGCCACCGACCGAAAAAAAGCUUUGUUCUCAUCGCUGCACGACAUUGUCACCAUUGCCAUCGAAGGAAAUCUCGCCGUCACAGUUCAAUCACCAUCAAGCCUGAAGGGAAGCACCACUGCUAUUGCCCGACAGCAGCUUCUCCUGCAUUCCCAAUUCCAUUCUUAAAACUUAUUAUCGUCCUUAUCCGCAACCAUUGAUGUCACCGCUACAGAGGUGAUUGGGAUAGGCACGAUUGUCAUUGUUGUUGCUGCCCUAGAAGAAGUGAGGCUGCUGCUGCUAUUCCGGCUGCAUUGGCUGUUGUAAACUGGAAAAAAGAAGGGGAUCGUUGCGUUUAAAUUCGACGGUUUCGACUAAUUGAGUGAUACAGGUUUGAAGAUGCAAUAUGAAGCUGCGAGCGAUUAGGAUGUUACAGAAGACGGCUGCGAAAAUAAGAUAUGGGAUCCCAGAUCGAAGCAUGAAGACCAACUAUGGAAGCUCAUAUCUUGUGUAGAACUUUGCCCAAGCUUGGUGAAGAUGGUUGGAAUUUCUGUCAACCAUUUGAGGAACAAAGAUCCUUGGAGAUUCAAGGAAGAGUACAAGCAUAAUCCACCAUGAUAAAGAACUUCCCAAAUGUCCAACUUAACGACUUAAACUAAAAGUGCUAGGUGGGAGACACCCCACCAUGUUUUUCAGGAUGUCUGACAGAGGAAAAGCCAAGGCUACCUCUAGAAAGAGGAAGACACCUCAAGCCUCCGCUCUUUCUCCUUAUGCCAACUAUGCAAAGAACCCACUUAAUGAAGUGGACAAAGAGAAUCAGCAGCUACCGCCUACUGACACAGACAGGUUUCCUAACCUGUACUGUGAACUCCACUUCCCAACUAUCAGAAGAAGAAUCUGAACAUUGAGAAAAAGUUGGCCAUUCCCGCAGACCUGAGGUGAGCGAUUGAGACCCGUAUUGAGGGACUAGGCCUAGGUUUUGUUGAUAGGGAUUUGGGGAGGAUAGAUACAUCAUGGGUCAAGGAAUUUUAUUGUAACUUCUUCAGAGCACCCCUUGAUUCGUUUUAUCUAUGAGGCGGGCAGAUUUUGAUUACCGAGGCUGCUAUUAAGGAUGCAUUACAUUGUCUACCUAAGACCGGUGCCACAGAUGCUUAUGAGCAGGUGGAGGUAGAGUUGUAUUGUAUGACCUUUGACUAUGAGGCUUUGAGAUGCAUUAUUGCCACCCCGGAUGCCCCUUUGGUGAUGGAUGCCAAUAACAAGAAGCCUAAGGGGAUGCUGUUUGCUCACCUAUCGAGAGAGGCUAGGACUUGGCAGUAGAUCUUUGGACACUAUGUCAUGCCUACCAUCCAUUUUACAGAGAUUCCGGUGGACAUGCUCGCCCUGAUCGGUUGUGUUAUGGAAGGAAAAUAGGUAUACUUUCCACGGUUGAUCAGGAGAUACAUGUGGCGAGCACAUGUUCGGGGCAUACCUCCAUUCCCCACUUUAGUCACUAGGAUGGCUGAGCUAGCCGGUGCACCAUGGAGAGACGAUGACGUGUCACCACUACCCCCAGACGAUGACAUGGAAGAUGUUAUUCCGUGGGGUACGUGGGUGAACGAGAAGCCUCCAUCCUGGCGUGCAUCUAGAGCUCGAGCCCGAGUAGCACCAGCAGCACCCUUAGCACCACCACCAGCACCCCAGCCAACUUAUCUUCUGAUUCAGCGUCUUUUUCGCUUCAUGGAGUGUAGUGAGCGCCGCAUUAUGCGACGCCUGGACUGAGUAGAUCAGAUGUUCAUGCCACAGGGGUUAUUUUGCUUUAUUUUGCACUUUUGGAUUAUUGUAUAUACUAGUAUUGUGGAUACUUUUAUUUUAGUUGUUACAUUUUGCACCUUGAUGAGC